rnacentral:rRNA from 1 species
UACAGAGGGUGCGAGCGUUAAUCGGAAUUACUGGGCGUAAAGCGUGCGUAGACGGUUAUUUAAGUCGGAUGUGAAAGCCCCGGGCUCAACCUGGGAAUUGCAUUCGAGACUGAAUAGCUAGGGUGCGGUAGAGGGAAGCGGAAUUUCCGGUGUAGCGGUGAAAUGCGUAGAUAUCUGGAGGAACACCGGUGGCGAAGGCGGCAUCCUGGACCAACACUGACACUGAGGAGCGAAAGCCAGGGGAGCAAACGGG